rnacentral:rRNA from 1 species
AUUGAACGCUGGCGGCAUGCUUUACACAUGCAAGUCGAACGGGCUUGGGGGCUUGCUCCCAAGUUAGUGGCGAACGGGUGAGUAAUACAUCGGAACGUACCGUGUAGUGGGGGAUAACGUAGCGAAAGUUACGCUAAUACCGCAUACGAUCUACGGAUGAAAGCAGGGGACCUUCGGGCCUUGUGCUAUACGAGCGGCCGAUGUCUGAUUAGCUAGUUGGUGAGGUAAAGGCUCACCAAGGCGACGAUCAGUAGCGGGUCUGAGAGGAUGAUCCGCCACACUGGGACUGAGACACGGCCCAGACUCCUACGGGAGGCAGCAGUGGGGAAUUUUGGGACAAUGGGCGAAAGCCUGAUCCAGCCAUGCCGCGUGUCUGAAGAA